AGGCAAUCGUGUCAAUAAAGAAAGGUGCAUAUUUACUUAAGUGUGGUAGUAGGGGAAAGCCGAAGCUCUGUCCUUUAAGACUUUCCCAGCUAUGAGUGUGGGUAUUAUGUAAUGAAGCACAUGCACACCAUUAUUUGUACAAACAUUACUGAUUCAUGGGAUAAGAUCUUUGAUGAUUCAUCUCCAAUGGAAGCUCCAGACAUUGAAGACAUUAGAACUAAGUGGGCUUCUUUUAUUUUAAGUGUUAGUAAAUUGUAGAAACUUGACUACAAUGUAGUGUAGGUUGAUGUUAUUU